CCCUGAGGUACCACCAGCCCUGCCACCCCACCAAGAGUUACUUGGAGUACAAAGAAAAAGGGGUGUGGAGUCAGCAAAGCCCUAAAGAGAAAGACAUGAAUUCAGAGACUGAAACUUUCCAACGAAAGUAAUUCAAGGACUCAAAAGCAAUGUACUUCAUAGCAAUGAGCACAGCUGGAUCCCAGACAUGGUUUCUAAAUCCUACUGUCCACUGAAAAGAAGCAAAGAUCCUUGGGAAAUGACUCCUGGUUUGCAGGGAAACCAGGAGGUGAAACUGGAAUGUCCUGAUGUGCCAGAAAAUGAGGAGCAGUUCAAAGACUGAUGCAGUCAAAAGGACAAAGGAACCAGCUCUAAGUGAUUGCCCAUGGAUCAAAUAUAUGAAAAUUUGAGUCUCAAAAAGAAUAAUUACAAUAAUCAAUAACAAUAUAUUGGAUAAAGUGAAA